rnacentral:lncRNA from 1 species
AAACCAUGAUACAGUACCUCAUAAGGGUGAAAAGGUCCCCACGAAAAAAACAAGGUGAAGAGGUCAGGUGGCCAGUGCAAGCACGAGGGAGAUUUAGCUCCUGGUUUGGUGCGAUAAUUCAAAAGUUACGGGACCAAAUAAUUCCAUACGUCCAACCAUCCAAGCAUUAACAUGAUUAACAAUGUACCCAUGGUACCACUAUCCUGUUAUUAAGUAUAAGUAUGUUCGAGUAAAAUAUGAGCACGGCUCUUCCAGGGACGUCUUCAAUACUGAUAUAGUGGUAUGAGACCAUGCACAACUAAAAUUCGUUUCACUCUAAUAUACGUCUUGGCUGAAUUCUGCAGCGGUAUUGUCUUGGAUAAUACCAAUAUGGCUUUGGCACCGGCCAACU